AUACGUAGGUGUCAAGCGUUGUCCGGAUUUAUUGGGCGUAAAGUGAGCGCAGGCGGUCUCUUAAGUCUGAUGUGAAAGCCCCCGGCUCAACCGGGGAGGGUCAUUGGAAACUGGGAGACUCGAGUGCAGAAGAGGAGAGUGGAAUUCCAUGUGUAGCGGUGAAAUGCGUAGAUAUAUGGAGGAACACCAGUGGCGAAGGCGGCUCUCUGGGCUGUAACUGACGCUGAGGCUCGAAAGCGUGGGAGCAAACAGGAUUAGAUACCCUGGUAGUCCACGCCGUAAACGAUGAGUGCUAAGUGUUGGAGGGUUUCCGCCCUUCAGUGCUGCAGCUAACGCAUUAAGCACUCCGCCUGGGGAGUACGGCCGCAAGGCUGAAACUCAAAGGAAUUGACGGGG
rnacentral:rRNA from 1 species